UCCCAAAAUAAGUGCAGUUUUAACACCGUUCAUGCUCAACGUUUGACCGUUCGUCUUAUUUGAAAAACAAUUAUGACUAGUAUUUUUAUUGUUAUUAGAUGAUAAUACAUGAAUAGUACUUUAUGCGUGACUAAUAUUUUUAUUUUUUUUAUAAUUUUUUCAAAUAAGACGGACAGUCAAAACGCUGGACACGGAUAUCUAUGGUUGCACUUAUUUUGGGACGGAGGUGG
rnacentral:pre_miRNA from 1 species